rnacentral:sRNA from 1 species
AAACAAUGAAUGAAAA